GCGACGAUGCGUAGCCGACCUGAGAGGGUGAUCGGCCACACUGGGACUGAGACACGGCCCAGACUCCUACGGGAGGCAGCAGUAGGGAAUCUUCCACAAUGGACGAAAGUCUGAUGGAGCAACGCCGCGUGAGUGAAGAAGGUUUUCGGAUCGUAAAACUCUGUUGUAAGGGAAGAACAAGUACAGUAGUAACUGGCUGUACCUUGACGGUACCUUAUUAGAAAGCCACGGCUAACUACGUGCCAGCAGCCGCGGUAAUACGUAGGUGGCAAGCGUUGUCCGGAAUUAUUGGGCGUAAAGCGCGCGCAGGCGGUCCUUUAAGUCUGAUGUGAAAGCCCUCGGCUCAACCGAGGAGGGUCAUUGGAAACUGGAGGACUUGAGUGCAGAAGAGGAAAGUGGAAUUCCAAGUGUAGC
rnacentral:rRNA from 1 species